AGCGAACGCUGGCGGCAGUCCUAACACAUGCAAGUCGAACGAACUCUUCGGAGUUAGUGGCGGACGGGUGAGUAACACGUGGGAACGUGCCUUUAGGUUCGGAAUAACUCAGGGAAACUUGUGCUAAUACCGAAUGUGCCCUUCGGGGGAAAGAUUUAUCGCCUUUAGAGCGGCCCGCGUCUGAUUAGCUAGUUGGUGAGGUAAAGGCUCACCAAGGCGACGAUCAGUAGCUGGUCUGAGAGGAUGAUCAGCCACAUUGGGACUGAGACACGGCCCAAACUCCUACGGGAGGCAGCAGUGGGGAAUCUUGCGCAAUGGGCGAAAGCCUGACGCAGCCAUGCCGCGUGAAUGAUGAAGGUCUUAGGAUUGUAAAAUUCUUUCACCGGGGACGAUAAUGACGGUACCCGGAGAAGAAGCCCCGGCUAACUUCGUG
rnacentral:rRNA from 1 species